UACGUAGGUGGCAAGCGUUGUCCGGAUUUACUGGGCGUAAAGAGCGCGCAGGCGGUCGUUCAAGUCGCGUGUGAAAGCCCCCGGCUCAACUGGGGAGGGUCACGCGAUACUGAUCGACUCGAAGGCAGGAGAGGGUAGUGGAAUUCCCGGUGUAGUGGUGAAAUGCGUAGAUAUCGGGAGGAACACCAGUGGCGAAGGCGACUACCUGGCCUGUUCUUGACGCUGAGGCGCGAAAGCUAGGGUAGCAAACGGGG
rnacentral:rRNA from 1 species